rfam:Spinacia oleracea cultivar SynViroflay scaffold28310.con0002.1, whole genome shotgun sequence.
AGCCUAUUAGCUCAAUUGGUAGAGCUAUGUGCAAUCGCACAUGAUGUAGGUUCGAAUCCUACAUAGGCUA